rnacentral:pre_miRNA from 1 species
CAACUACUCCCUCUGUUCCAAAUUUCUUGUCUUAGAUUUGUCUAGAUACGGAUGUAUCUAAUAAUAAAAUGUGACUUGAUACAUUCGUAUCUAGACAAAUCUAAGACAAGAAUUGUGGGACGGAGGGAGUACUUU